AGAGUUUGAUCCUGGCUCAGGAUGAACGUUGGCGGCGUGGAUGAGGCAUGCAAGUCGAACGGGUGUAGCAAUACACCAGUGGCGAACGAGCUAGUAACACCUUGAUUAUCUACCUUGAAGAUGGGAAUAACCUGCCGAAAGGUGGGCUAAUACCCAAUAGUCCCGCAAGGGUAAAGGAGCAAUCCGCUUUAAGAGGAGUCUAGGUCCUAUCAGCUAGUUGGUGGUGUAAUGGACUACCAAGGCUAUGACGGGUAGGGGGGCUGAGAGGCUGAUCCCCAGCGACGGCACUGAGACACGGGCCGUACACCUACGGGUGGCAGCAGUCGAGAAUAUUCCACAAUGGGCGAAAGCCUGAUGGAGCGACGCCGCGUGCAGGAUGAAGGUCUUCGGAUCGUAAACUGCUUUUCUACAGGAGGAAGCCGUGAUAAACGGUUUGACUGUACUGUAGGAAUAAGAGGUUGCUAACUCUGUGCCAGCAGCAGCGGUAAUACAGAGACCUCAAACGUUAUCCGGAUUUAUUGGGCGUAAAGCGCGGGUAGGAUGUCUAGUGCGUCUGUUGUUAAAUCUCACCGCUCAACGGUGGAAGCGCAAUAGAUACGAUUAGACUAGAGGAUGUCAGAGGGCAAUAGAACGCACGGUGUAGGGGUGAAAUCCGUUGAUAUCGUGCGGAAUACCAAAGGCGAAGGCAUUUGCCUGGGGCAUUCCUGACUUUGAGCCGCGAAAGCGUGGGGAGCAAAAAGGAUUAGAUACCCUGGUAGUCC
rnacentral:rRNA from 1 species